CCGCCCCAGAGGUAAACGGGUGGAUCCGCAAAGUCGGCCCGCGGAAUUCAGCGCGGCGCGCGACCUGGGGCUGCUGCGGUACGGGAUCCCUGGGACCCGUCCGUGGUGCCGCGCCGGGUUCCGCCGCGUGCACUUUCCGCGGGCAGAGCGCCACAACCGGUUUCGAGGCGGCCACAAGCCGGGUGGGAAGGUAGGUGAGGGGCGGCAACGUCCAACACUGUUAUAGCCCUCCCUGGCGAGUCGCUCCGGGACCGAGGAACUACCGCGCGCUUCGAGGCUACCUGGCCUUCCGGGGGAGUUCGACUGGGAGAGACUGGGCAACCGUGUCUUCCGACCGCUUUCCUGUGACUGGAUCGGGCUACC
rnacentral:rRNA from 1 species